GACGAACGCUGGCGGCGUGCCUAAUACAUGCAAGUAGGACGCAGUUGAGAACGGGUGAGUAACGCGUAGGUAACUACCUAUUAGAGGGGGAUAACUAUUGGAAACGAUAGCUAAUACCGCAUACUAGUAGAUGGACUUGCGUUGUAUUAGCUAGUAGGUAGGGUAAUGGACUACCUAGACAACGAGACAUAGCCGACCUGAGACGGUGAUCGGCCACACUGGGAGUGAGACACGGCCCAUACUGCCAGGGGAGGCAGCAGAAGGGAGUCUGCGGCAAUAGGGGGGAACCUGACCGAGAGACGCCGCGUGAGUGAGGAGGAUUGUCGGAUCGUAGAGCUCUGUUGUUAAGGAAGCGGUACUGACCCAAAAAGGGACGGCUAACUACGUGCCAGCAGCCGCGGUAAUUC
rnacentral:rRNA from 1 species